GGCGUGUAUAUCGACUGAAACUAAAAGCUCUGCCCUGUUAUUCGAAGCCAAAAAAAAAGCUACAUGUAAAAAACAAAAUGCAACCUCAUUUCUUUACGGAAAAUGUGAACGGAAAAUAAGUUGAUAUAAAAAAGAAGACGAGGUAUGAUUGCCAAUGAGACAACUCUCCACAAGAGACCAAAAUGACACAGAAAUUAACAACUUUAGGUCAC
rnacentral:lncRNA from 1 species